UGGGGAAUAUUGGACAAUGGGGGAAACCCUGAUCCAGCAAUGCCGCGUGAGUGAUGAAGGCCUUAGGGUUGUAAAGCUCUUUUACCCGGGAUGAUAAUGACAGUACCGGGAGAAUAAGCCCCGGCUAACUCCGUGCCAGCAGCCGCGGUAAUACGGAGGGGGCUAGCGUUGUUCGGAAUUACUGGGCGUAAAGCGCACGUAGGCGGCUAUUCAAGUCAGAGGUGAAAGCCCGGGGCUCAACCCCGGAACUGCCUUUGAAACUAGGUAGCUAGAAUUCUGGAGAGGUCAGUGGAAUUCCGAGUGUAGAGGUGAAAUUCGUAGAUAUUCGGAAGAACACCAGUGGCGAAGGCGACUGACUGGACAGAUAUUGACGCUGAGGUGCGAAAGCGUGGGGAGCAAACA
rnacentral:rRNA from 1 species